rnacentral:rRNA from 1 species
AUGCUCUGCGGCGGCGGCGUGUCGAUGGUCAUGGACGCCGCGCUGCACGACUGGUGCGGGCCGCUGCCCGGCGGAUCCAAGCUGCCAAUCUACCCCCAAAUCCCCGACGGGUUCACCGCGGAGGAGCUCGAGUCGCUGCUGCUCUUCCCGUCCGACGGCGCCGACGCGGGCGCCUACCUGAAUGCCGCCGCGGCGCCGGCCCUGCUCCCGCCCCCGCCCGCCUCCGCCGGCAGCGCGUCGCCGCCGCCGCCGAGAGACGCCUCGGCCCAUUCGCCGUCUGCUGCUGCUGCGGCGGCGGGCCAGGCGCAUCCGCAGCCGGACGACUCGGAGGUGUUCUCGGACAUCGUGCUGGGCUACAUCAACCGCAUGCUCAUGGCCGAGGACAUCGACGAGAAGUUCGACCACUACCCGGCCCACCCGGCGCUGCUCGCCGCCGAGAAGCCCUUCCUCGAGAUCCUCGCCGACCAGCCGCCCUGCUCCGGCGGCAGCACGGUCGAGAGCCCCGACGGCAGCAGCGUCACCACCAGCUCCUUCAACAGCCACGGCUCUUGCAACUGCGCCGCGCCUUCCGGUGGUGGCCUCGGCGCCAUGCAGGCGCCGCCUGCUCUCGAGUUCCCCAGCGCGGAGUUCCUGCAGCCGCCGCAGUUCUACCAGGAUCUGAGCCCCGAGAGCUGCGUGGUGGAAGCAGGCGGCGCGUGGCCGUACGAUGCCAUGGAAUUCAACCCUCUUCCUGACGCGCUGCUCUCGCAGUCGUCGUCCUUCGCGUCUUCAAAUGGCAGCAGCGUUGCAUUUUCAGAGGGCUUCGAGCCGUGGCUCAGCACGGCGGCUGCUGUGCCUUCUGAUGCUGGUUUGAGCGAUCUUGUUCUGCAGAGCCAGCAAGCAGUGCAGUUCAGCCGAGGAUUUGAAGAGGGAAGCAGAUUUCUGCCUCAAGAGAGCAAGCUUGUGAUUGACAUCGACAGCUUACCGUCAGUUCGGGUUAAAGAAGAUAAGAAGGUUGUGGAGGUCAAGAGAGAGAAGGCUGAUUCUGAAGUAGCAAUUCACCGAGGAAAGAAGCAUUUCUAUGGUGACGACCUGGAUGCAGAUGAAGUGAGAUGCUGCAAGCAUUCAGCACCUGUGGUCGACGCGGAUCACCUUGUGCGGGAGAUGAUGGACAAGGUCUUGCUAUGCAACGGCGAGACAUGCUCUAGAGGUGUCAAGGAACUGCGUGAGGCCCUACAGCACGAUGUGGCAGCUCAUUCAGGUGGUGCCCAUGGCAAAGGGUCUGGCCAUGGUAAGGGCCGUGGCAAGAAACAAGUCAAACAGCCCAAGAAGGAGGUGGUCGACUUGGAGACUCUCCUCAUUCAUUGUGCUCAGUCUGUGUCCAUUGAUGACCGGCGGAGUGCAACUGAUCUCCUCAAGCAGAUCAGGCAGCAUGCAUCUGCCAAUGGUGAUGGUGACCAGCGUUUGGCGCACUGCUUUGCCAAUGGCCUUGAGGCGAGGCUUGCUGGUAAUGGAAGUCAGAUUUACAAGUUACACACCAUAUCACGGUUUGCAUGCGCUGAUAUUCUGAAAGCCUACCAACUGUACCUAGCAGCUUGCCCAUUCAAGAAGAUCUCUCAUUACUUUGCCAAUCAAACCAUUAUGAAUGCUGUGGAGAAAGCCAAGAAAGUUCACAUUGUCGACUUCGGCGUAUACUAUGGCUUUCAGUGGCCAUGUCUCAUUCAACGGCUAAGUAAAAGGCCUGGAGGCCCCCCAGAACUUCGGAUCACAGCAAUAGACACACCUCAGCCUGGUUUUCGCCCAGCAGAGCGCAUCGAGGAGAUUGGAAGAUAUCUAAGUGAUUAUGCUCAGACCUUCAAAGUUCCUUUCAAAUACCAUGGCAUCGCAUCUCAAUUUGAGGCUGUUCAGGUAGAGGAUCUCCACAUUGAGAAGGACGAGAUUCUGAUUGUCAACAGCAUGUUCAGGUUCAAGACUCUGAUGGAUGAGAGCGUGGUAGCUGAGAGUCCAAGGAACAUGGUAUUGAACACAAUAAGGAAGAUGAAGCCACAUGUGUUCAUUCAUGGGGUCACUAAUGGAUCCUAUAAUGCACCAUUCUUCGUCUCACGCUUCCGGGAGGCAUUGUUCCAGUUCUCUGCUCACUUUGACAUGUUGGAGGCUAACAUUCCCAGGGAUAAUGAGGAGAGGCUGCUCAUUGAGUCGACUAUUUUCAGUCGGGAGGCAAUUAAUGUAAUAUCUUGUGAGGGAAUGGAGAGGAUGGAGAGGCCAGAGACCUACAAGCAGUGGCAGGUGCGGAAUCAGAGGGCUGGGUUCAAGCAGCUCCCGCUGGACCCGGAAAUCAUGAAGCGUGCACGGGAGAAGGUGAAGUGCUACCACAAGAAUUUCAUCAUCGACGAGGACAACAGGUGGUUACUACAAGGAUGGAAGGGGCGUAUCCUGUACGCGCUCUCAACAUGGAAGGCGAAUCCCCAAUCUUCCUAG